AAUCAACGCUGGCGGCGUGCCUCAGACAUGCAAGUCGAACGAUUAAAGCUCUCUUCGGAGAGUGCAUAAAGUGGCGCACGGGUGAGUAACACGUAAGUAAUCUACCUUCGAGUGGGGAAUAACGUCCGGAAACGGACGCUAAUACCGCAUAACGCAGCGGCAUCGCAAGAUGACAGUUGUUAAAGAUUUAUCGCUUGAAGAGGAGCUUGCGGCAGAUAGCUUGUUGGUAAGGUAACGGCUUACCAAGGCUACGAUCUGUAUCCGGUCUAAGAGGACGGUCGGACACACUGACACUGAAUAACGGGUCAGACUCCUAC
rnacentral:rRNA from 1 species